UACGUAGGGAGCAAGCGUUGUCCGGAAUCAUUGGGCGUAAAGCGCGCGUAGGUGGCCCUGUAAGUCCGUUGUGAAAGUCAAAGGCUCAACCUUUGAAAGCCGAUGGAUACUGCAGGGCUAGAGUACGGAAGAGGCGAGUGGAAUUCCUGGUGUAGCGGUGGAAUGCGCAGAUAUCAGGAGGAACACCGAUGGCGAAGGCAGCUCGCUGGGACGGUACUGACGCUGAGGCGCGAAAGCGUGGGGAGCAAACAGG
rnacentral:rRNA from 1 species